GUGGCACUGGACUUCUCAAGCAAGGAGGAAGUCCCAGGGUCAAAAGUCAGCCUGGAUCUCAAGGCUGCUCCAGGGUCCCUGUGCUCUGUCCAAUCUGUUGACAAGAGUGUCCUCCUGAUGUGGAACAAUACCCUAACAGCAUACACACUGUAUAAGACAGUCUUUGAUGACAGCUUUGUAAUUGGAGGACGAGGGUUCCCUUAUCACCUGGAAGACUUUGAUGCAUACCCUUGUCUGCCCCAGAAAUCUGGUCUCCAUAAAAAGACUCGGAUGGAAGCACCGUGGUACCAAAGUGAAGCUGAUGUCUUUAAUCUGUUUAAGAUGUUGCGCAUGAAAAUAUUAACCAAUACUAAAAUCAAGAAACCAGUUUCCUGUAUAAAACGAGACUUCAGGAAAAAGAUGUUGUCUAGCAAAGACAGUGUAACUGACAAUUAUGUUGGCCGUGUUGAUUCUGUACCUCAGUCAGAUGACACAGAGAAGCCCGAACCACGGACACGUUUCCCAGAAACCUGGAUUUGGGAUUUGGUCCCUGUUGGGUUGGUAACAGUCUCUGCCUGCCUUCCCCAGAGAGACCCCUGGAAAAUUCUGACUGCUCCUGAGCAAGUUCUCCUCUCUUUCUUCCUGCUGUAG
rnacentral:lncRNA from 1 species